CCUAUGGAUUGUAAACUGCUUUUAUACGAGAAGAAACACUGCUUCGUGAAGCAGCUUGACGGUAUCGUAAGAAUAAGGAUCGGCUAACUCCGUGCCAGCAGCCGCGGUAAUACGGAGGAUCCAAGCGUUAUCCGGAAUCAUUGGGUUUAAAGGGUCCGUAGGCGGUUUAAUAAGUCAGUGGUGAAAGCCCAUCGCUCAACGGUGGAACGGCCAUUGAUACUGUUAAACUUGAAUUAUUAGGAAGUAACUAGAAUAUGUAGUGUAGCGGUGAAAUGCUUAGAGAUUACAUGGAAUACCAAUUGCGAAGGCAGGUUACUACUAAUGGAUUGACGCUGAUGGACGAAAGCGUGGGUAGCGAACAGGAUUAGAUACCCUGGUAGUCCACGCCGUAAACGAUGGAUACUAGCUGUUGGAAGCAAUUUCAGUGGCUAAGCGAAAGUGAUAAGUAUC
rnacentral:rRNA from 1 species